GCAUAUAUAGUAUAUAAAAUACAUUAGAUUUAGAUUCUAAAGAAUUUAUUUAUGUU
rnacentral:tRNA from 1 species